UAAUUAAAUUUGGUUAAUUAGAAAAAUCAGCUCUAAAUUCUUUAUAAUUUAAACUAGAAUUUCAUUAAAUUAGAAGAUAAAAUUUAUUUAAUAAUUAAUUAUUAUUGAGAUUUAGAAAAAUCUCUAGUUAAUUUUGUGCCAGCAACAGCGGUUAUACAAAAAGAGAAUUUUUUUUUUUUAAAAAUUUAAUUUUUAUAUCUAAAUUUUUUUUUAAAAAAUGAGGUGAAAUUUUUUUUUUAAAUUUUAAAUUUAUUAAAAAUAAAAACUCUAGAAUAAACUAGGAUUAGAUACCCUAUUAUUAAGAAUAAUAUAUUGUUAGUAUAUAAACUUUAUGAAAACAAAAAAUUAUGGCGGUAUUUUAAGCUUUUCAGAGGAAUUUGCUCUUUUAUGGAUAAAACACCUAAAUCUUACUAAAUUUGGUUAAGCAGUUUGUAUACCACUAUUUAAGCAAUAAUUUAUUAUUAUUACUAAAAUUUAUUAAAAAUAAAAAAAGUUAAGUCAAGGUGCAGCAUAAAAUUUAGUAUGAAGUGAAUUACAUCUCUUUAAAGAGAAAUAUUUUGAAAAUGAAAUUUAGGAUUUGAAAGUAAAGUUUUAAUAGAAAGAAAAUUUGAAUUUAGCUCUAAAAUAUGUACAUAUCGCCCGUCGCUCUUUUAUGAAGAUAAGUCGUAACAAAGUUAAAGUACUGGAAAGUGCUUU
rnacentral:rRNA from 1 species